UUCUUAUCUCUCUCGUCUUUUUUUUUUUGUCCCCUAGGUAAGUCUGUCAACUUUUAAUCCUUCUGGAAGCUUCCAAAUUUUGCUGCCUUUGUAUCAAAAAAAGAUGUAAGGAGAAGUCUCUGCUUGGCUGUUCUGUUUCUCCACUUAGUGAAAAGCUGUGGAAAAGCCAGAGGCUAUGGAGCUGAAGUACUCUGGGAAUGAUCCAAAACAGCAACUUCUCCAAACUCCAAGGUUUGCUGCUUGUCCUGUUUCAUGGAGAGGACAGCCAUCUGUUUCAAGGAAGGACAUUCCACUUCCAUCCUGCUUUAAAGUUACGGAACCAUCUGGAAGGAGAUGAGAGAAGUUUCCAAGCAGGAUUCUGCUUGCGUGGAAUGCAGUAUGAAUAUGUCCCUGAACUCCCUUCGGGAAGGUCUGGAAGUGCGUAAACCACUGUAUCCUGAUCUAACAGUUCCGCCUGGAUGUAGCAGCUUAGACACCUUCCUCAAACACCCAUAUUUUUUCAGAAGGUCCCCAUCAGUUCUUUGGAAAAAGGCAACUCUGCACAUGCAAACAAUUGAAUGGGAAAAAGCUGUUUGUGGAGGGAAAGCUGGAUUCACAUUGGAUUACAGAUUGUUAUAUGGAUCAGCAGUCUCUGGUUUGUGUUACCUCUUUGCUGGAGAAAUAAUCAAGCUUCCUCGGAACGCCAGUCCCUGGGGAUCUUAAGCAAGAGAACGCAGUUGCACUCACGUCCUGCCUGUUUGGUUCUGGUAGGCAUCUCGUCAGGCCUUAGGGGGAAUAUAGAGCUGGACGGCGGGGGGGGGGGCUUUCUGUCUAAUCCAGCAAGGCUCUUCCCAUAUUGUUAUUUGCACUGAAAAUGGGAGGAGGGGAGGAGCAUCCCGCAAACAAACACCAGAUCAUAAACCACAAUGCGUUUGAAAUAACAGGAGCAAUAAUAGUAAUGGUGGGAAUUUAACCAUGUGACAAAUAAGUGUUCUGAUGAAUAGCUGU
rnacentral:lncRNA from 1 species